UUAUAUUGAUAAUCAAUUCAUAGAAAACCUUUUUGGCUAUAUCAAGAGUCUCUUUUAGAAUAAAUUUAAUUUUGGCAUCUAAGAUUUUUUCUUCUAAAAUAUUUUUCAUAUUUGUAGAUGUUUCAAUAUGAAAUUGAAGCUUAUAAGUAAAAUUUUUACCUUUAGAUUUAUUUAUGUGAACUCUUUUAUUCUCUUUUUUCUUCUUCCACCACUCUUU
rnacentral:lncRNA from 1 species